GACAGCGGCGGGCGGGUGAGUAACGCGUAGGCAACCUGCCCCUGACAGAGGGAUAGCCAUUGGAAACGAUGAUUAAAACCUCAUAAUGCCGAAGGAACACAUGUUUCAUCGGCCAAAGAUUUAUCGGUCAGGGAUGGGCCUGCGUCUGAUUAACUAGUUGGUGAGGUAACGGCUCACCAAGGUGACGAUCAGUAGCCGACCUGAGAGGGUGAUCGGCCACAUUGGAACUGAGACACGGUCCAAACUUCUACGGAAGGCAGCAGUAGGGAAUCUUGCACAAUGGGCGAAAGCCUGAUGCAGCAACGCCGCGUGAAGGAUGAAGGCCUUCGGGUUGUAAACUUCUGUUCUUAGGGAAGAAGAAAGUGACGGUACCUAAGGAGAAAGCCCCGGCUAACUACGUGCCAGCAGCCGCGGUAAUACGUAGGGGGCAAGCGUUAUCCGGAAUUAUUGGGCGUAAAGAGUGCGUAGGUGGUUAUCUAAGCGUAAGGUUUAAGCGUGCAGCUCAACUGCAUCUCGCCUUGCGAACUGGACUACUUGAGUGCA
rnacentral:rRNA from 1 species